rnacentral:rRNA from 1 species
UUCUGGCUCAGGAUGAACGCUAGCUACAGGCUUAACACAUGCAAGUCGAGGGGCAGCAUGAUCAAAGCUUGCUUUGAUUGAUGGCGACCGGCGCACGGGUGAGUAACGCGUAUCCAACCUUCCCUAUAGUAGUGGAUAGCCCGGCGAAAGUCGGAUUAAUACACUAUGUUAUUCAACGAGGACAUCUGAAAUGAAUCAAAGGUUUACCGCUAUAGGAUGGGGAUGCGUCUGAUUAGAUAGUAGGCGGGUAACGGCCCACCUAGUCGACGAUCAGUAGGGGUUCUGAGAGGAAGGUCCCCCACAUUGGAACUGAGACACGGUCCAAACUCCUACGGGAGGCAGCAGUGAGGAAUAUUGGUCAAUGGACGGGAGUCUGAACCAGCCAAGUAGCGUGCAGGAUGACGGCCCUAUGGGUUGUAAACUGCUUUUAUACGGGGAUAAAGUGAGCCACGUGUGGCUUUUUGUAGGUACCGUAUGAAUAAGGACCGGCUAAUUCCGUGCCAGCAGCGGC